rnacentral:rRNA from 1 species
UACGUAGGGGGCGAGCGUUAUCCGGAUUCAUUGGGCGUAAAGCGCGCGUAGGCGGCCAGCUAGGUCGGGAGUCAAAUCCGGGGGGCUCAACCCCCGCCCGCUCCCGAUACCGGCCGGCUUGAGUCUGGCAGGGGAAGGCGGAAUUCCCGGUGUAGCGGUGGAAUGCGCAGAUAUCGGGAAGAACACCGGUGGCGAAGGCGGCCUUCUGGGCCACGACUGACGCUGAGGCGCGAAAGCUGGGGGAGCGAACAGG